rnacentral:lncRNA from 1 species
UUGCCAGGGAGGAAGAGGAGGUCCUAGGAGCAUUUCUUUUCCUGUUUCCAGUGGACCUUUAGGAGAUGGAAUGGGGGAUGGGGUGAGGUGGCACCUACCAUGCAGUGCUCAAUUUGAAGACUUAAAUUCCUAAAUAAAUUUGUAGGAAUUGUCAAGGAUCCUGGCCUGGAAAAUAGUGCCAAACCUAUUCAUCAAAGGGGCAGCGUUCUAGGAUACUAAAGUUAGCACGUAUCAUCUUGUGUGAAAAAAUCCAGCCCAAUACAGAAUUUGAGAAAACUGUCUGUAUUUUAAUUUAUUUCAAUUGGGAGUCUUAACAAGCUGAAGCCAAAGGUUUGAAA